CACGUAGGGUGCGAGCGUUGUCCGGAAUUAUUGGGCGUAAAGAGCUCGUAGGCGGUGUGUCGCGUCGGCCGUGAAAACCUGCAGCUUAACUGUGGGCUUGCGGUCGAUACGGGCAUCACUGGAGUUCGGCAGGGGAGACUGGAAUUCCUGGUGUAGCGGUGAAAUGCGCAGAUAUCAGGAGGAACACCGGUGGCGAAGGCGGGUCUCUGGACAGGUACUGACGCUGAGACGCGAAAGCGUGGGUAGCAAACAGG
rnacentral:rRNA from 1 species